ACUGGGCUUGUGGGUAUUUGUCUCUCUCCCCGCCCCUGAGAGUCUGGGAAAGGCCGACACGUGGUGCCUUCAGGCUCUGGGGCCUAGGACCUUUGUGGUAGCAGAGUCAGUGCAGAGAACCAGAAAAUACCAGGUUGCUUAUAGAAGGAUGCCAUGUGCUUGCUGGAGGUCUCAGGUGCAACCAAAUUGCUUGCAGCUAGGAGGACCUUGAAGAGAAAUGGAACCAGCCCGCCAAACCAAGAAGGGUUAGCACUUUUGCUAGGAGAGCUGACCACGCACAAACAGAUGAGAACCAAAAUCGAGUGAAGAGGAUUGAAGAUGAACCCACAUUUUAAAAGUUCUUAUCUGCUGGAGGUGGCAUUACCUGUGACUUCGCUUCACUUCUCCAUACAUGGCUGUUAUAGCAGCCCUAGGUCCCUAAAGAAUUUCCCACUGAAGCAGAUAACUUGGGAAAAUGUUGGGGAUCAAGGUUGAAUGAAGAAGAGCAGACCUACAAAGCUAAGAAAAUCCAGCUUUCUGAAGCACAUUUAAUGACUUAUGAUGAGACUUAUGUGAUGUGAGACCUGAGAAAACUAUGAUAGAAAGAAGCAACUCAAGCUGCAAGGAUAUUCCUCAUGUAUCAUGCAAGGAUAUUCCUCAUGUAUCAUGUUGCUCUGCUCCUGGGUCCAAGCUAUUCUCCUGCCUCAGCCUCCCAAGAAGCUGAAACUACAGGAACAGGCAACUACCUGGCUUGCAAAUACCACUGCUAAUAAGAAGAUAUUACAUGGAUCCCUGAGGUUGGUCCCCAAUACUACAAGGCAAUUUGAUAUCAUAAUAGAACACUGCAGACACAAUGCUGAGUGAAGAGGAGUAGAAAUGAGAAGACUUGGUUGAGCAGAAACUGAAUUCUUGAAAGGAAGAGAUGCUCGAUGAGGGCAUGGAUUCCUGAGGUCUGCCCCAAUACUACAAGACAAUUUGAUAUAAGAAAACACAGCAGAUACAAUGCUGAGUGAAGAAGAGUAGAAAUGAGAAGAUUGGUUGUGCAGAUACUGAGUUCUUGAAAAGAGGAGAUGCUUGAUGAGAACAUGGAUCCCUGAGGUUGGUCCCCAAUACUACAAGGCAAUUUGAUAUCAUAAUAGAGCACUGCAGACACAAUGCUGAGUGAAGAAGAGUAGAAAUGGGAAGACUUGGUUGAGCGGAAACUGAAUUCUUGAAAAGAGGAGAUGCUCGAUGAGGGCAUGGAAGCCUAAGGUCUGUCUCCAAAACUGUAAGACUAUUUGACAUCAUAAUAAAACACUGCAGAUAUGAUGCUGAGUAAGAGUGGAAAUGGGAAGACUUGGUUGUGCAGUAACUGAGUUCUUGAAAAGAGGAAAUGCUUGAUGAGGGCAUAGCUCACUAAGGUCUGUUCCCAAUACGAGAAGACUACUUGACAUCAUAAUAAAACACUGCAGAUAUGAUGCUGAGUGAAAAAGAGUAGAAAUGGGAAGACUCGGUUGUGCAGAAACUGAGUUCUUAAAGAGAGGAGAUACUUUAUGAGGGCAUGGAAAUCUAAGGUCUUUCCAGAAUACCACAAGACUACUUGAUAUCAUAAUAAAACACCGUAGAUAUGAUGCUGAGUGAGUAAGAGUAGAAAUGGGAAGACCUGGUUGUGCAGAAACUAAGUUCUUAAAAGGAGGAGAUGCUUGAUGAGGGCAUGGAUCCUUAAGGUCUGUUCCCAAUACAACAAGACUAUCUGUUAUCGUAAUAAAACACUGCUGAUAGGAUGCUGAAUGAAAAACAGUAGAAAUGGGGAGAUUUGGUUGUGCAGAAGCUGAGUUCUUAAAAAGAGGAGAUGCUUGAUGAUGGUGAGUGGAUCUCAUCUCAGUUCAAUAUCCAAUGGAAGCCAAAAGCAAAUGGUUAAGAGUGGAAAAUGAUUACACAUAUUGAGCAGAAUAUUAGGUAUUCGUGCUUUCUGUUCUCUUUGUCUCUUCAUGGCAUUUUGUUUUGAAACGUAGAGUAAUGUAUCUUUAAAAAUCCAAACAAAAAGGUGAUAAGUAUCUACUUUUCUAAAGUAAUAUUUGUGAGGCCCUAUUUUAAGGUUUACCUUUACUCAUAUUGAAGGCGUGAAAUGUUGACAUAUAAGACUUAGUAGUGGUGACAUUCAAAUGAAUUCACCCUCCUCAAAGGUUUGUUAAAAUGCACACUUGAUCUGAUCCAAACCACAGUGUACACAGUAAUCCACUUUUAAUACAGAUUUAUUUUUUCAUGAAAUUAACAAUGUAUGCAUGUAUUUAAAGAUAUCCCUGGAAAUAAUCCAAAAGUUCUUAAGUUGCCUUGACUAGUUGUAUGGUAGUGGUCUUCUUCAUUAUUAAUACAUGGAUUUUUCUUAAUCUUUGUCAAGCACUAUUCUUUAAUUUACUAGUUAAUCCUUAUACCUAAAAGACAUUAUAAAACUCUCAGAGACACACACAAACACAACCACACACAGCCCAUAAAGUCUCAGGAAAUACCUGAAGAAUAUGUAAUGGCAUGGGCACAUACUAUGUUUUGAUGUUAAAUGAUGAGACCAUGAGAUGAAACUCUGAUUCACCUUGACAGGAAUUAAGCAUAUGUACUAUGAGUAUCAUGCCAUGUGGAGUAUACAUGGCAUGCAGUAAGGAGUGUCACCUGGUUUCUCCUCUAACGGCUCAUGCCAAAUUGUUUCCUACAAUGUAUACAUAAGGCUCUUAGAAUAGGAAGAAUUCCCUGGAUGCCUGACAGGGGAGCCAGGGCCAAGACCUCUGGGAUUUUUAAAUUGUUGCUGGAGAUCUUUUCCAAGCUUUCAGCCCUUUUCUCCUUUUUGUGCGUUCAUUCACUGAAGCUAUCCCCUGAAGAAGACAGUUUAAUGCCAUGGAAAUUAUUGGACCUGUAACUCUGAAGUAAAUCAAACCCACACAGACUAGAUUAGGAGAAUAAUUUCUUAAAGAACAAGAUUCCUGACAAGGGUGGUUGGUUUAGACCUUGGUUUGAUUUCAAGUGAAAAACAAAAAGAACACAGCAGUAAGACCAGCUGGCUCUAAACUGGGCAAAAUAGAAGGCAUCCAUGUUUGGUGGCUCUUUGUGUAUGUGUGGUGUUUUUUCAGACAGGAAGGGCGGGAGAAGAGGGCUACAAACAGGGCUUCUUGACAUAUCUGGAGCGCUACUGCCAUCGCGAGGAAGACGUUUAACAAAUUACAGUCGUUUAACGCCAUUACAGAGUUCUCUGAGCACUACCUGUUGGGGUAGGUGUGGUCUGGUAAGAGGUGAAAGAGGCUUGGCCUCCAUGCUGGGCGUCCUUGCCUACUUGUCCAAGGCCUUAAAAGAGACCUGGACAUUGGCAAUAUCUUGCUAUAGAACCUGGAGUGUGAAGGUUCUACUAGCAAAUCCUGUAAACUUCCCUUGGAAUAAACCUGUUGUUUGUGCGAGGUACUGAUUCUAUCAGAGACCCAAAGACCCAUAGCAAGAUGCCAGCAUGAGAAAGCUUGCUGACUCUUGCUCCAAGGGACAGGAAGAAGAGACAGAUGCCUACAAGAGCCUCAAUGUGUGUUUGAGUGGGUUCCUGCAGUCCUGCCCACAUAGGAGGAACUGAGGCCCCGCCCCACAACUUCCUGUGCCAGGACCGCCUGGCAGCUGCUGGUUCACUCCAAGCCCUUCACUCUCCAGGUUCUACACCAAGAUACUACCAAUGUCUAGGUCACUCUUCAGGCGUUAGAGGAGAAGGCAAGAAGACGUCACCUGGAGGCCAAGCAUCUUCCACCUCCCCAUAGAUCAGCCUUUCCCCACAGCUAGGCUUCCUGGGAAGGAGGCUGUACUGGAGUAUUCUUUCUUUAAACGAUUUCCUCACGGUGGCAGUAGUGCUCCACAUUUUCAGGGAAGCCCUAUCUUUGAGCCCUUUCUCCUGCCCUUCCUCUGUGAAAUAAGCAAACCAGAGAUAAAGGCGCCACCAAACAUGGCUGCCUGGAGACUUGUCCAGUUUGGUGCAACGUGGUCUUACUGUUGAAUUUUUUUUGUUUGUUUUUGUUUUCCAUUUAAAAACAAAAUGCAGCUUAAACCACCCAUGUUUCUCAGGAAUUUUGUUCUUUCAGAAAUUAAAUACACUCCUCACUGAGUCUAUCUGGUUAGAUUUACUUCACACAGUUGCAGGUCUAGCAAGUUCCAUGGCAUCAAAUUGUCUCCUUCAGGUGAUAAAUUGGGUGGAUGAAGUUACAACAGCAAAGAUAGAUAUCCAAGAGAUAGAUAUCAAUAAGAUAGAUAACCAAUGCAUGAAAUUUGAAACACGCUAAGUGAAAAAAGCAAGACUUUGAAAAAGCCACUUAUUGUGAUGAUCAGUAGUGAGGGAAAGUAGAUGAGUGUUUGCUAGGGGCUGGGCAGAGAGUGGAAUGGGGAAUGACUGCUUCAUGGGUCCAGGGUUUUCUUUUGUGGUAAUGAAAAUGAUUUGCCACUAGAUAGAGGUAGUACUUGUACUGCAUUGUGAAAGUACUAAAUGCCACUGCAUUUCACACAUUUUAAUGGUUAAUUUUAUGUUAUAUGGAUUUUACCAACUGUUUUAAAAAGUGCCAGUGAUUUUAAACCUGUCAUUAUUUCCAUGAAUAAUUAAUUAUAUUUGAAAAGUACUCAAGUUAUCAGUGAAGAAAUCUUGUUUUAACAGUUAUACUACAAAGUGGCUGGGCUUGGUGCCUCAUGCCUGUAAUCCUAACACUUUGGGAGGCUGACAUGGGAGGAUUGCUUGAGGCCAGGAGUUCGAGAUCAAACUGGUCAACCUAGGGAAACCCCAUAUCUAACAUUAAAAAACAAAAACAGUUGUGCUACAGGGGAAUUUGAACAUUAGGUUAUAAAAGUCCAUAUUAUAUGUGCAUAAUGAACAGAUGAAAAUACCUAGCACAGACAUUUUAAAAGUCAUUAUUUCUUCUCACUAUAUGAGACCCAGCAUGUUUUCUGCUUUAUAAUACCUUUAAGUUCUUCUAGAGUAAAAUAUAAAAAAAUUUCAAGUACUCAGAAGUAUAUAUGGAUGUAGAUACAUUCAAGAAGUAUAAGACAAUGCUGAAGAUUUUGUACAAAUUUCAAACAGUAUGCAUGCAAAUUAUAUUUAAACUGUGUUGAGUGUGUGUGUAUUUAUAU